GGGAAUGUGGCUUAGUGGUACAGUGCUUACCUAGCAUGUAUGAAGCCCUAGGUUCGAUUCCUUAGCACCA
rnacentral:tRNA from 1 species